rnacentral:lncRNA from 1 species
UAAGACUUUAGGGUCUUACCAUUUGGUAUCAGAGCCUACGAUAAGACUUUAGGAUCUUAUCAUUUGGGGUGAGAGCCUACGAUCCUUAGCGUUCUCGCUGCAACGAAGCUAUACAAAAAAAAAAAGGAAAGAAAAAAAGAAAGAAAGAAAGAAAGAGAGAAGAAGCAGCAACCGCAGCCACGCACCCCUGCUUCUGGCCAGCCCACCCGCUGCCCGUCGCUGCUCUCCGGCCAGCAACCGACUCUGCCCCACUUCCAGCCAGAGUCCACCGCCGCCUCCCACCCGAGCCACUACCGCUGCCAGGAGACGAUGCUGCCAACGUCCCACUCCGCCGCAGCCCUGCUCCUCUUCUCUACCGCCGUUGUAGGGCAACUCCUUCUCCACCUCCGCCACUACUUCCCGACCGAUCGAUCACCGCCGCCCGCCUCCCAACCGCAACCCUAGCCGUGCCCCCCCUUGGGUCGCAGCCCCUCGAAAUGAUCAAGGAGGGCAGAGACCCUCGAAGCGAUCAAGGAGGGUCGAUCCCCUCGAAGCGAUCAAGGAGGCCGAUCCCCUCGAAGUGAUCAUCCCAUUUCUCUUCUUCUUUUUUACGAUAAGACUUUAGGGUCUUAUCAUUUGGUAUCCUACGAAAAGACUUUAGGGUCUUAUCAUUUGGUAUCAGAGCCUACGAUAAGACUUUAGGGUCGAUUUUAGGGUCUUAUCAUUUAGUAUCAGAGCGACGAUAAAACCUUUAGGGUCUUAUCAUUUGGUAUCAGAGCAACUAUCCUUGGCGCAGCCUGCCGCAGCCUUGCUUCCCUUCUUCCCCACCACCACUACAAGGCAACUCUUUCUUCACUGUUGUCGUUGUUUCCCCGGCUAGCGACCUUCGACCACCGCUCGACCUCCUCGCUGCCCCAUCUCGUUCAAAAAAAAAAAAAAAAAAAAAAAAAAAAAAAAAAAAAAAAAAAAAAAAAAAGGG